CCUACGGGAGGCAGCAGUCGAGAAUCAUUCACAAUGGGGGAAACCCUGAUGGUGCGACGCCGCGUGGGGGAAUGAAGGUCUUCGGAUUGUAAACCCCUGUCAUGUGGGAGCAAAUUAAAAAGAUAGUACCACAAGAGGAAAAGACAGCUAACUCUGUGCCAGCAGCCGCGGUAAUACAGAGGUCUCAAGCGUUGUUCGGAAUCACUGGGCGUAAAGCGUGCGUAGGCUGUUUCGUAAGUCGUGUGUGAAAGGCGUGGGCUCGACCCGCGGACGGCACAUGAUACUGCGAGACUAGAGUAAAGGAGAGGGAAGCGGAAUUCUCGGUGUAGCAGUGAAAUGCGUAGAUAUCGAGAGGAACACUCGUGGCGAAGGCGAGUUCCUGGACAGUAACUGACGCUGAGGCACGAAGGCCAGGGGAGCGAAAGGGAUUAGAUACCCGAGUAGUC
rnacentral:rRNA from 1 species